GAUGAACGCUGACAGAAUGCUUAACACAUGCAAGUCUACUUGAAUUUGGGUUUUUUAACUUAGAUUUGGGUGGCGGACGGGUGAGUAACGCGUAAAGAACUUGCCUCACGGCUAGGGACAACAUUUGGAAACGAAUGCUAAUACCUGAUAUUAUGAUUAUAAGGCAUCUUAGAAUUAUGAAAGCUAUAUGCGCUGUGAGAGAGCUUUGCGUCCCAUUAGCUAGUUGGAGAGGUAACGGCUCACCAAGGCGAUGAUGGGUAGCCGGCCUGAGAGGGUGAACGGCCACAAGGGGACUGAGACACGGCCCUUACUCCUACGGGAGGCAGCAGUGGGGAAUAUUGGACAAUGGACCAAGAGUCUGAUCCAGCAAUUCUGUGUGCACGAUGACGUUUUUCGGAAUGUAAAGUGCUUUCAGUUGGGAAGAAAAAAAUGACGGUACCAACAGAAGAAGUGACGGCUAAAUACGUG
rnacentral:rRNA from 1 species